CCCCCCGGCCGGGGGCAGCGCAUCUCCCGGGUGCGGCGGACGCAUGCGUGCGGGCUGGUGCGGGCUGCGUGCGGGCAGCCCCCGUCUCUGCCCCCCGGCUUCGCCGCAGGAAACCGGCUGGCGGCCGCGGGCCGGCGCCGGGGGAGGCGAGGGGUUAACCGGGGUGGGGGCAUCCCAGGCCGAGAGGUGUGAAUUCCGCCCGCUCCCCCCCCACCCCCCCGCUGCCGCUAUAAGAGCGGCCGGCGCGGGCUGGGGGGAGCCACUGCGGCGGCUCCUCCUCACUGGAAGCCCCGGCGCUUCUGGCUGCCCUUUGAAGUCGGAGAGGGAGCAGGAGGGAGGGAGCGGCUGGGGCCGCCGCCGCCGCUCCGAUCCAUCGCCACCACCGCCGCCACCGCCCGGCCCCGGAGCAUCGCCCCGCCCGGCCCCACCGCCUCCAGGUACGGCCCGUCCCGCCCCGGCUCCCCGCACCGCCCGGCCCGGCUCCCCGCAUCGCCCUCCCGGCCCGUCUGCAGCCUGCGGCGGGGCUGUCCCGGCCCCGCGGUGCCUCCGGCCACAUCCCUCCCCCUCCUUCAGUUCUUCUAUUGAAACACGCAGCUCUGACCGGCCGCGGAUAAUCUCGGAGCGAGCUCCGUUACUGGCUUCGAGUCAGACGUGUCUGGGAGCCUUAAUGAGAACCAAGUGUAAAGCAAGUCGCAGCCACCUGUCCCGGGAUCCCCGGCCAAGCGCGCCGCGCUCCCAUCAAUCCGUGCAUCUGCCUCUUGGAAAGGGUCUCUCGCAUGUGAAGGGCUUUUCCAGCCUAGUCAGUUCUGUGAUUCUGUGCUGGCCCCUCUCCCCGGGGGCGGCCGCGAAGCCGAGGUGGGACCUGGCAGCCCUCUGCCGAUGUCUGUAAGCCGCGUACCACAGCCGUGCUGGCAUUGCCGGCAAAUCUGCAUUUCCAAACUGCUACAAAAGCCCUUACAAGAAGAAAAAGGGGUAGGAAAGAAGCUCUUUAUGUUGCAGGUCUGCAGCACCUCUUCCACCUCCCUACCUCCCGAAGAUUCUGUCUAGUGUCUUUUCAAGGGGAAUUAGCUUAGGGGAGAACACUUUCAUUUUUGACUUGCAGACAUGAGCUGCUUUGAUUGCCUAGAAGCUUGAUUUCCUGAAACCUGCUCCUUUCUGGCUCUUGCAGUGAGGUUCACAAUAAAAUGUAUUGUGGUUUUGAGCUGAGUUUUAUUUAAGAAAAUGCUAUUCUGGGUUACUCUUUCAUGAGGCAGAUGGAGAGAGAGAUGAAAGUCUGACACGGGAUACUUCAUUCUGCUCUUUAAUUGCAGGUGGUUUCUCUUCUAUAAGAACAGGCUUCUUCCCUGGGAAUAGAUGGGAAUCGGAGUGAACAAAUGAAAAAAAGAAAAAUAUUGGCUAAUUGAAUUACUUUUUUAAUGAAGCCUUUCAUCUCACUGUUGUAGGAGCAGUUCUGUAAAUGGAGUAUUAAGAUGCACUGCUGCUAUAGAUCCAGGGACACUUCUUGUUACUCGCUGCCUUUUGUGCAGUGCUUGCUUCUGUGUAAGUCACACUCCCUUCCUAGGCAGGCUUAAAGCUCCAGCUCACACUGGUGCUAUCAGGUGCAGCCCCUGGGAACCAGUGCGACGUUGUGGUUUGGAAGAUGGCAGCUGAGGUGGGAGGUGGACUUGUACUGUGUUAAUGCUUCCACUGAUUAAAUAUAACUUCAGGAUCAAGCCCCUGCAGCCAGUGGUGGCUGGUGUCAUUUAGCUGACCGGGAAUGCUGAGGAGGACGUGUGCUGCGUAACCCUCCUGCUCUUGACAGGCUGUGGGGCUAGAUGAGAGCUCUGCUUAGUGUGGCGUUUAGUUGCUUUCUAGGAUGAAGAUAUCCAAGUGGAGGUGGAGCAGCAUCUCCAUCAGCACGCAAUCCCAGCUGAAAGGCAUUCUGGCCCUUCUCUUUGUGGGCAAUGUUGCCUUUGUGAUAGCUCAGGACCUGGCACAGGCCUCCAACAGCCUGGAGGAAGGGGCAGACGUCACCGCGUACUGGUGGGGCGAGUGGACCAAGUGGACGGCGUGCACCAGGACCUGCGGGGGGGGCGUCAAGUCCCAGGAGCGGCACUGCCUGCGGCAGAGAAGAAAGUCAGCAAGUGGGCUGGCUAAUAAAACUUGCACUGGAACAUCCAAAAGAUACCAGCUCUGCAAAGUACAAGAGUGCCCUGCAAACGGAAGGAGCUUUCGAGAGGAGCAGUGUUCAUCAUUUAACUCCCAUGUGUAUAACGGCAGAACGUAUCAAUGGAAACCUUUAUAUCCUGAUGACUAUGUUCACAUUUCUAGCAAGCCCUGUGACCUCCAUUGCACCACUGUGGAUGGUCAGAGACAGUUAAUGGUUCAGGCUCGGGAUGGAACAUCCUGCAAAUACACUGAUUUCCGAGGGGUUUGCGUGUCUGGAAAAUGUGAGCCGAUUGGAUGCGAUGGCAUUCUCUUUUCCACCCACACCUUGGAUAAAUGUGGAGUUUGCCAAGGAGAUGGGAGCAGCUGCACUCACGUCACCGGCAGUUACAGGAAAGGAAAUGCUCAUUUGGGCUAUUCCCUGGUAACACACAUUCCUGCUGGAGCAAGGGAUAUCCAGAUAGUAGAGCGGAAAAAGUCUGCAGAUGUUCUGGCUGUGGCUGAUGAAGCUGGGUAUUAUUUCUUCAAUGGGAACUACAAAGUUGACAGUCCAAAGAACUUCAACAUUGCAGGCACAGUGUUCAAGUACCGCAGGCCCAUGGAUGUUUAUGAGACUGGCAUAGAAUAUAUUGUUGCACAAGGACCGACAAAUCAAGGGUUGAAUAUAAUGGUCUGGAAUCAAAAUGGCAAGAAUCCAUCCAUCACAUUUGAAUACACCCUCCUGAGGAAGCCACACUCAAAAAAUCUGCAGCCUAUCUACUACACCUUCUCUGAGUCAGACAGUGAAGAAAGCAGAGAGUUUGAUGGAGAUGUGCCAUUGGGUUUUAUCCAGCACAAUGCAACCUAUUUUGGGAAAAUCUCCAGGGAAAGGAUAGACUUGGAGAACCAGGUGUUUGGAAGGCAGGACACGGAGGAAGAUUUGAACUUGAGCAAAGGUCAGGAAACCAAUGAGGUCUAUGAAAGAGCAGAAACAAUUGACUGUGAGCCAAAACUGAAGGGCAAACAACCCCAAGAUUCAAACGUAAGCAGGUCUACUUACCAGACAGACCAUAGCGACAGAGACUUCGACCCGAGGUUCACCUCCAGGGAAUUCCUUUUGGAGAAUGCCAUCACAGACAAGCUGCUGGACAAGACCUCGGGCUCCAAGGAGCUGAUGCUCAACAUGACCAUGAACAGCAUCUUUGCCCAGGGAGACCCAAUCAACUCUGUGGGGUCACAAAUCGACAGCCUUUAUGUUGACUAUGAGGACACUGAUGGUGCUGUGACCUACACCAUUAACAGCACUUACAUGGAGCUGAGCAACAGCAAAGCUGUCAACACCUCUGCAGAGACACCGUUUUCAAAUGCCACUGUCACCAUGACCAGCCCUCAAGGGAACAGAACUCACAAAGCAAGAAACAGAUUGAAGUUGUUAAGAAAGGGCCAAGGUGUGAGUGCUGCUGACAUGUACAGGUGGAAGCUUUCCUCCCAUGAACCCUGCAGCUCUACAUGCACCACAGGAGUGAUGUCCACAUAUGCAAUGUGUGUUCGCUAUGAUGGGAUCGAAGUGGAUGAUACAUACUGUGAUGCCAUGACCCGUCCCGAGCCCAUCCAUGAGUUCUGUGCUGGGAGAGAGUGCCAGCCAAGGUGGGAGACAAGCAGCUGGAGCGAGUGCUCCCGCACUUGCGGGGAGGGAUACCAGUUCCGCAUCGUCCGCUGCUGGAAGAUGAUCUCUCCAGGAUUCGACAGCUCCGUCUACAGUGACCUCUGCGAGUCCGCUGACAUCGUGCGGCCGGACGAGCGCAAGGUCUGCAGGAACCCGGCCUGCGGGCCGCAGUGGGAGAUGUCCGAGUGGUCCGAGUGCUCGGCGCGGUGCGGGGAGCGGAGCGUGGUGACACGGGACAUCCGCUGCUCGGAGGAUGAGAAGCUGUGCGACGCCAGUGCCCGGCCCCUGGCCGAGAAGAACUGCACGGGGCCACCCUGCGACCGGCAAUGGACCGUCUCUGACUGGGGACCGCGGCGGCUGCGGGCAGGGCAGGAUGAUCCGGCACGUGUACUGCAAGACCAGCGAUGGGCGCGUGGUGCCGGAGUCGCAGUGCAACCUGGAGUCGAAGCCACUGGCCAUCCACCCCUGUGGGGACAAGAACUGCCCCUCACACUGGCUGGCGCAGGACUGGGAGCGGUGCAACACCACGUGCGGCCGGGGCGUGAAGAAGAGGAUCGUGCUCUGCCUGGAGAUCGUCAAUGGCAAGAUCAAGACCCGCAGCGCCGCUGACUGUGAUGUGGCCAAGAAGCCCGUGGAGGAGACAACGUGCUUCGAGCGGCCGUGCUUCAAGUGGUACACAACCCCCUGGUCAGAGUGCACGAAAACCUGUGGCAUCGGUGUGAGAAUGCGGGAUGUGAAGUGCUACCAAGGAAAGGACAUUGUCCGGGGCUGUGACCCACUGGUGAAGCCAGUGGGCAAGCAGACCUGUGACCUGCAGCCCUGCCCCACGGAGCCCCCAGACGACAGCUGCCAGGACCAGGCAGGAACCAACUGUGCUUUGGCUAUCAAAGUAAACCUCUGCAGCCACUGGUACUACAGCAAAGCCUGCUGCCGCUCCUGCCGCGCGCCCCACUCCUAGUGCCCGGCAGCACCGGGCUGCGC